GAGGAAAGAGGGAAAAGUCUUCAAGAGUUGUUAAGUUUGAAGGGAGUUUUAUGCCUAUGUAAUCAGUGCAGACAGCCGUUAAGUAAAUGAAGAGGCAACUAACAAUGUCAGAAAAGAGACCGGGCGGUUCCGGCUGACACUACCCUAAUCUUCCAGGACCCAUUAAAUGGUAGUUUCAACGCAUUACCUACCAUAACAUCCUUGAAUAUCACUGAUUUUAUUUGCAGUAUCAAACAUUCCAUUUCAUGCCCCAUUAACAGUGGGAGCCUGGGCUUUUUGACGCAGCUAAACAUUUUACUAACUACCUGGACUAAGUAACCAAUUAACUUUUGGAGACAAUACGGCCAAUUAAGCGCGAAAAGAAAAUUUGGAAAACAGGCUUUUCCUAUCCGGAUGAACAGAGAUAAUUUGUGUCGAUGGAUGUUCUGUGAAGGCCUAUUGUGUCGAGCAGCGUAUUAAAACAUAAACAUGGCUCUUCCCCCAAGAAACUUACAUUUCAGUAAGGGAGCCUGGCCAAAAUGGAAAACUGCAAGGUUCAAAUCCUGGAGUGCAGAAGAAGCAUUAGGCAUUGACCCUGUGGCUUCCUAAUAGAUCCGCAAAGUGCUUUGUUCCUGGAAAUCAUCCGAUGAGUAGUUCAGUGCUAUUGUAUAUCUUGUUAGAGCAGCCGAAGUGCCACAAAAUGAACUAAAAUCUCCCUGCAGAGUUGCUGUAUCAUAUGCUGAGAACAUUCGGAACUUUCAACAAAUUCAUGUUACGAUCCUGGGUAGCCAUGGUUAAAUCUGUACAGGGGUUAAAUGAGAAAUAUGAGCCUGCUGUUAAGUGUCUUCUGAGAGUGACAAAGCUCUGGCCAUAAGGGAUGGGAGAGGAGGGAUUUCUUCUCAGCCUUCCAGCCCUUUCCAGCUGUAUCACAGACAGGAGACAUAAUGCAAAGGGGCUCAGACAUUGACUUCCUGGAUCUUUGCGGCCCCAGGCAUUGACCCCCUCUACCUGGCUUUUCCUACGCUGUAAAAUGAGGAUCCUCCUAUAUUAUGGAGUUUAUUGUGACAACUAAAUAGCUGAGAAGAAGGACAUCUCAUUUGUUUUAACUAUGCAGUUUCCUGUCUAUCUAUCUAUCUAUCCCAUCAAUCUAUCAAUCAAUCUAUCAAUCUGUCUAUCCCUAUCUAUCUAUCCAUCUAUCUAUCUAUAUCUGUCUAUAUCUAUCUAACAUUUAUCUAUCAUCUAUUCAUCUAUCAGCUAUCUUCUGUCUAUCAAUAUUUCAAUCAAUCUCUCUAUCCCUAUCAAUUAAUCUAUCUACCUACCUAUCAACUAUCCAUCUAUCUCUAUCAUCUAUCAUCUAUUCAUCUAUCAUUUAUCAUCUGUCAAUCCAUCUUCCUACUAUCUAUCAAAAGCAACACAUUUUCUUCCUGACUUUAAAAAUAUUUAAGUGGGCCGGGAGGAUGGCUCACGCCUGUAAUCCCAGCACUUUGGGAGGCCUAGGCGGGCGGAUCACGAGGUCAGGAGAUGGAGACCAUCCUGGCUAACAUGGUGAAACCCCGUCUCUACUAAAAAUACAAAAAAAAAAAAAAAUUAACCAGGCGUGGUGGAGGGCGCCUGUAGUCCCAGCUACUCGGGAGACUGAGGCAGGAGAAUGGGGAGAACCCGGGAGGCGGAGCUUGCAGUGAGCCGAGAUCAUGCCACUGCACUCCAGCCUGGGCGACAGAGCAAGACUCCAUCUCAAAAGAAACAAAAACAAAAACGUAAGUGAUACUCUGUCCACUCUUUUGAUUGAGGAGGUCUGAUUUUCAGGCUUUGGAUUUUAUUAUGUCUUCAAUAUAAUAAUUGUUCCAUGUAUCUCUCCUAAAUUGCCAUUUGAAAAACUGCUUUUCUGAAGUUUAAAGUGCACAUUUUGAUACAUCUUGACACAUAUAUACACCCAUGAAAUCAUCACCACAAUCAGGAUAGUAGAUCUAUCCAUUACCGCCAAGGUUUACUUGCACUCCUUUGAACUUUCUCCCCACUCCUCACCCCCUGCCUAUCCCCAAUCCUUAAGCAAUCACUGAUUUGCUUUCUGUCACUAUCAGUUAAUUUGAAUUUUUCAGAAAUGUAUAUAAAUAAAAUCAUUCGACGUGUAUGCUCUUUUUCUGUUCACCCGGUACAAUUUGAGAUUUAGCCAUGUUUUUGCAUGUGUCAAUAGUUUAUUUUUUUGUUGCUCAGUACUAAUCCAUUUUAUGGAUACAGAGAAAUGUAUUAAUGCAAUCCCAUAUUAAUAGGCAUUUGGGUUGUUUCCAGGUUUGGGCUGUUACAAAUAAAGCUGCUAUGAACAUUUUUGUGCAAGUCUUUUUAUGAGUAUAUUCCUUUAUUUCUUUUGGGUAAAUACCUAGAAGUGGGAUGGGUGUAUCACAUGGUACGUAAAUAUUUAAAUUUUUAAGAGAAUGCCAAACUGUUUUUCAAAGUAAUUGCACCAUUUUAUAUUCCCACCAGGAAUAUAUGAGAAUUCCAGUUCCUCUACAUACUCACAGACAUAUUGUAUGGUCAGU
rnacentral:lncRNA from 10 species